UAGGGAAUCUUCCGCAAUGGGCGAAAGCCUGACGGAGCAACGCCGCGUGAGUGAUGAAGGUCUUCGGAUCGUAAAACUCUGUUAUUAGGGAAGAACAUAUGUGUAAGUAACUGUGCACAUCUUGACGGUACCUAAUCAGAAAGCCACGGCUAACUACGUGCCAGCAGCCGCGGUAAUACGUAGGUGGCAAGCGUUAUCCGGAAUUAUUGGGCGUAAAGCGCGCGUAGGCGGUUUUUUAAGUCUGAUGUGAAAGCCCACGGCUCAACCGUGGAGGGUCAUUGGAAACUGGAAAACCUGAGUGCAGAAGAGGAAAGUGGAAUUCCAUGUGUAGCGGUGAAAUGCGCAGAGAUAUGGAGGAACACCAGUGGCGAAGGCGACUUUCUGGUCUGUAACUGACGCUGAUGUGCGAAAGCGUGGGGAUCAAACAGGAUUAGAUACCCUGGUAGUCCACGCCGUAAACGAUGAGUGCUAAGUGUUAGGGGGUUUCCGCCCCUUAGUGCUGCAGCUAACGCAUUAAGCACUCCGCCUGGGGAGUACGACCGCAAGGUUG
rnacentral:rRNA from 1 species